UACGUAGGGUGCGAGCGUUAAUCGGAAUUACUGGGCGUAAAGCGUGCGCAGGCGGUUGUGCAAGACAGAUGUGAAAUCCCCGGGCUUAACCCUGGGAACUGCAUUUGUGACUGCACGACUGGAGUGCGGCAGAGGGGGAUGGAAUUCCGCGUGUAGCAGUGAAAUGCGUAGAUAUGCGGAGGAACACCGAUGGCGAAGGCAAUCCCCUGGGCCUGCACUGACGCUCAUGCACGAAAGCGUGGGGAGCAAACAGG
rnacentral:rRNA from 1 species